UACUGGUGGUGUCAUUGUGCAGGUCCUG
rnacentral:piRNA from 1 species